rnacentral:SRP_RNA from 1 species
GCUGGGUAUGGUGGCGUGUGCCUAUAGUUCCAGCUACUCGGGAGGCUGAGAUGGGAGGAUGGCUUGAGCCCAGGAGCCAGAGGUUGCAGUGAGCCAAGAUCAUGCCACUGCACUCCAGCCUGGGCAAUAGAGCCAGAUCCUGUCUCAA